rnacentral:lncRNA from 1 species
CGGGCAGGGCCAGCGAGCGGCGCUUCUGAUUCGUCUCCGGCCAACAGUGCCGGUCCUCCGAGCAUUCCCCAUCGAUGUCAUACUAGAUCUAAUCCCAAGGUAUGACCAUCUGUAGUGUUCGUCUUCUGUGCUUUGGCCCGGUGCUUCUUUGUCCCGUGGCUCAUCUAGUAGUUCCCUCUUCUCUAGAUUGGGCUAGGUUUGCCAAGCAAACAGAGGAGGGGACAAGGACGUGGCUCAUUGGGCUGUCUCCUCCAAGAUCAGCACAUCAUUUGAAGGAAGUAGGAGAGGAAACGAGGUAGUGGCAUCUUGCCUACAGCUGCUGAUUUCCCCUGAGUCGUACUGUCCAGAUUUUGGUCUUGAAGAAAUUGCGAGGUAUAAUUCAUUUGCUCAUAAUUAUUGUGUGUUACUGUUAUAGUACACAUCUAUGACUAUUCAUGUGUUGCUGGCUUGCUGCCUGGCGUGUGUGCUCUGUGUAACCAUGGCAUGCUCUGCUGACUAUGAAAAUUGUUAUUUAUCUAUAAACUGCUACCCCUACUGUCUAGAUGGAAUUUAGAUGAUGAUACGUAUCUGAAUUGAAAAUUGUGUUUAGAUGGAAGUUAUCAAAGAGAAAACUCGAGCGGUGUGUAGGGCUUGUACGCGCUGCUGCAAAUUUUGUAGAUUAAUUAUUGUGUGUGUGGUGCUAGUAGUGUGAGUGAGUGAGAGAAAAAUCCUUGAUUAAUGUAUGUGUUUGCCAUUGCUACUAGAUUAAUUAUUCAAGGACCUUAUUUUAAAUACUUUUAAAAUCACAUUUAAAGUUCCAAAAAAACUCGAAAACAAUUCUACGUGAUCAUAUGGAUGUAUAUUACAGUUGUGUAAAGUUUGGUGACGAAACAAAUAAACCUGUGAGCUAUAGAAAAAUGACAAAAUGGUGAUUUUCAAAUAGUUAAUAAUGCAUGCUCAGUUCAUCUUUCCAAAAAAAAAAACGAUUUUGUCAUUUUUGUGUAACUCACAUGGUUACUUAUUUCAGCAUCAAAAUUUACACAUGUGUAAUAUACAUCCAUAUAACCAUGUUGAUUUGUUUUCAGAACAUUUUGAAACUUCAAAAUAGAAUUUUGACACUAUUCCAAAUAUCGGGCUUCAAUGCACCCGUCCUCCAAAUUAACUUUUUGUUGUAUGCAUAAUUAUUUGUGUAGUACGACGGGAAAUAAGAAAUGAGCUAGUUUGAAAAAUAAUUAUGUUAUUUUUUUGCUAAUAAAGAUGGCAUGCACUACUGUAUCUAUUUGCAUAGAUUGUUGUUAAACUCGUUUUAGUGUAUUAUGUAUAAAAAAGUUCAACUCUUAUUUUUCAGGUUUGCUGGUGGCAGUAAAGAUCUAUGCAGAUUCCAACCAAAAAAAAAGACUGUUGUUGUGUACUCGAGUUGUGUGCUCAAUGUUUGAUGUAUAAGUGUGAGAUUUACUAUGGCUGUUCAGUUAAUGAUGUGUCUAUCUUGUAACAAAAUUACCUAGCAUAAUGCGGUUGGAACAUUUGCCUUAACUAAUGUAUGUGUUGUUGAAGCGAUGCAUGCAUUACUGCAAGUGAAUUCUGAUACUAGUAGACUAUAUUAAAAUUAGCUUCCUUCAGUUUUCUGUUGUCUGGUCUGGGGCAUUGACUGUCUGUUCUUUUGGUUUCCCAAAUGUGAUUUUGUUGGUACAGUUUUGG